GCUGUAACCCAAGCCUGAGGGGUGCUGGGGACUUAGGGAGGGAAGCUGGGCUUUCAAACUGCUGUAACCCAAGGAAGAAAAUCAUCAGCCUAUAUGCCUUUCACAGCAUUUGAAGGCAAAAUGGUUUGUGGCUUAGCCAUUGUUUAAAGGCCAUUCCUCAAAUUCCUUGUUUACUGUCAGCGGGGUGAGUUGUGGACUCUGUGACUUUAGCUGUUAAUGGGCCUAACCACUUCUGCCAACAGAUUAAGCUGUGCUGAAACAUUAAGAAAAUUGGCCCAAACAGAGAUAGGGAGCAUUCUUGUUUAGCUGUUGUUUCAUUUACAUGAGAAUCAUUGUCCCCAAACAAUAGCAUUUCCAUAUCGUCCAAAGAGCGGGCAAUUGGGUGAAACCCAUUCUGUUUCUGCUAAAUGACAGAAAUUGUUUGUUUGUUUGUUUCUAGAGAGAAAGAAAAAUGCUCAUUUUCAGCUGCAGUAGAUCCAAGUAGAUCCGAAAUGAAAUCCAGCCCCCAAAUACCUCCAGCUGGUGAAGGACUGGGAGCUCACCAGGAUGGGGUGAUGAUGGAAGAAAACAUGAAUAUUAACAGCUCAGCACCUGGAGUCAUCAGCCAAGAUUGCAGGCCCCUCACAAGAGGUGAUGGCCAAAAAAACGGCGAGAUCCAACCAGCUCCCUGUCCCCAUGGGCACAGCCAGCAGGGAAGGAGCAUUGUGGGGACAGACUGGGGUGGUCACUGUCAAGCCUGGAGCAGAGGGAGGAAGGGUUGGGGCUGCCCUGAGCCCAGGCAUCUCUGUGACCCAGGUGAGUGCUUUUGGUCGGGCAUCACUGUCUCCUUAAGGCCAAUGUUCACUGCAUGUUGCUGCAAAGAAGGGUGGAUCCAGCUCAGUACCUUGGAACCUAUUUUAUUGCUGAUUAGUGCUAUGAGAUUUACGCAAAGCACCAUCUGACAUUUCCUUGCUUUGGGAGAUCCUGCUGUUUUCUUUAUUUUAUUUUUCUUCUAGACCUAAUAGUUUUGGCCAGUGCUGCUGUUAUUGGCAGUUACCUUUGGCUGCUUUAAAUGCCACCAGAUGUGAGGCGAUGUUUACAUUUCCCCAAUUACAUUGUCUUUGAAUGGUUCUAAACUUGACUUUGAUUAAACACGCUAAUAACAAGAGAGGUUCCUUUUUUUUUUUUAUGAAUGUCACUUGCCUGAGUUGAAAAGACAUGCUCUUAAUACUUGCUUUUCAUCUAAAUCAAGAAAGCAACACUAAGCAAAAAAGUAUUUAACUGUAGCAUAUAGGAUUGUAAAGAUGGUAAUCAGGGACACUGGUAAUUGAAGCUUUUGGGGGAGAACCUUUCUUCUGAAUCCUUCAGUCUGUUUAAUAGGAUAAAAUUAGCUUGAGUGGCUUGGUGUUUGAAGAGGUUAUGAUAUAAUUGGAGCUGCCUCCUGGGUUUGCUGCUGGACAAGGCGAUCAGGUGGAGACAUGGGAGGGCAUGGGAACCUCUGAAGUACAAGACUCAGCUUCUGCCAUACUAAUUAGCCUAAAUUAGCUAUGCCAGUUUUCUGCUUGCUUUUGAAUUUCCCUGAUAAUGCUUUUAUCAGGAGUGUAAGAAAAGGAAUAUGAAAACGCGCACAAAGUUCACUGUAGAAUGGCAAAAGCGAUGGUGACUGUCGACUAAGUCCCAGGCUUAUUGCUGCAAGCUUCAGGAAAAAAAACAGGGAGAAAAAAGAUUGAAUAGCAUUAGGAAAUAACAAAUGGAUAUCAAGUACAACCCCUAGGGAUUUAGAAAGUACUAUGGCUUGCGUUCUCAAACACGAAAGUUUACAAAGCAUCUGUAAGAAAUUGAUUAUCUUGAGGAUUAUAUACAUAUUACUUUGAGGCCAAGCCCUCCCCCCAACACCCAGCUUUGCUCUUGAGUGUUUAACCCAAGGUGAAGGAGGCAGGUCCUCCUCCAGGCAGAACCGGC
ensembl:lncRNA